AACGGUCCUAAGGUAGCGAAAUUCCUUGUCGGGUAAGUUCCGACCCGCACGAAAGGCGUAACGAUUUGGGCACUGUCUCAACAACAGACUCGGUGAAAUUGUAAUUCCGGUGAAGAUGCCGGAUACCUGCGACAGGACGGAAAGACCCCAUGGAGCUUUACUGUAGCUUGACAUUGGGUCUUGGUACUACAUGUACAGGAU
rnacentral:rRNA from 1 species